rnacentral:misc_RNA from 1 species
GAUGAAGAACGCAGCGAAAUGCGAUAAGUAAUGUGAAUUGCAGAAUUCAGUGAAUCAUCGAAUCUUUGAACGCACAUUGCGCCCGGCAGUACUCUGCCGGGCAUGCCUGAUCGAGCGUCAUUUCAACCCUCAAGCCCUGCUUGGUGUUGGGGCCCCACGGCUGCCGUGGGCCCUGAAAGGAAGUGGCGGGCUCGCUACAACUCCGAGCGUAGUAAUUCAUUAUCUCGCUUAGGGCGUUGGGCGGCGCUCCAGCCGUUAAAGAACCAUCUUUAACUCAAGGUUGACCUCGGAUCAGGUAGGAAUACCCGCUGAACUUAAGCAUAUCAAUAAGCGGAGGA